AUCUCAUCCGCUUGAGCGAAUGAGGCGAAUGAAGAACACCGCGUCCUGCGCAACGGUCAUGCGUAAUAGUGCAGGCGUCCUGCACUAUUGCGCAUGACGUCUUGCCCGACGCCGCCCUACACCGGUUCGCCUUGUCAACUUUCGCUUCUGGCAAAAGUUGAUUCGGCGUUCUCCCCCGGCUGGAGCGUGCCGUCCGCUGUGGGGUACCUCUCCUCUGCAAACUGUUGGUGUCGCCAGGGCCACGUGCUGCUAACAGGAGACCAUGGACAAGGAUCACGCGGCUUUCCUGGCAAUUAACAGAACACCGACGCCGUCACUGUAACCAGCUUCAUCAGCGGCAUCGAAUUGGUGAGGGUGUGCUGAGCAAGUAACAGGUCUGGCGAAGGUGGCCUGCUUUCAACGACCAUUGCCACUUGCCAGUUUGCUUGCGCCAUUGAAUCUUGAGGUUAAUCGUGCAGGGAACCAUCUAGCUAAA